AGGACCUUGCGGCAGCUAACACAUGCAAGUCGAACGGUAACAGGAAGCAGCUUGCUGCUUCGCUGACGAGUGGCGGACGGGUGAGUAAUGUCUGGGAAACUGCCUGAUGGAGGGGGAUAACUACUGGAAACGGUAGCUAAUACCGCAUAACGUCGCAAGACCAAAGAGGGGGACCUUCGGGCCUCUUGCCAUCGGAUGUGCCCAGAUGGGAUUAGCUAGUAGGUGGGGUAACGGCUCACCUAGGCGACGAUCCCUAGCUGGUCUGAGAGGAUGACCAGCCACACUGGAACUGAGACACGGUCCAGACUCCUACGGGAGGCAGCAGUGGGGAAUAUUGCACAAUGGGCGCAAGCCUGAUGCAGCCAUGCCGCGUGUAUGAAGAAGGCCUUCGGGUUGUAAAGUACUUUCAGCGGGGAGGAAGGCGAUAAGGUUAAUAACCUUGUCGAUUGACGUUACCCGCAGAAGAAGCACCGGCUAACUCCGUGCCAGCAGCCGCGGUAAUACGGAGGGUGCAAGCGUUAAUCGGAAUUACUGGGCGUAAAGCGCACGCAGGCGGUCUGUCAAGUCGGAUGUGAAAUCCCCGGGCUCAACCUGGGAACUGCAUUCGAAACUGGCAGGCUAGAGUCUUGUAGAGGGGGGUAGAAUUCCAGGUGUAGCGGUGAAAUGCGUAGAGAUCUGGAGGAAUACCGGUGGCGAAGGCGGCCCCCCUGGACAAAGACUGACGCUCAGGUGCGAAAGCGUGGGGAGCAAACAGGAUUUAGAUACCCUGGUAGUCCACGCCGUAAACGAUGUCGACUUGGAGGUUGUGCCCUUGAGGCGUGGCUUCCGGAGCUAACGCGUUAAGUCGACCGCCUGGGGAGUACGGCCGCAAGGUUAAAACUCAAAUGAAUUGACGGGGGCCCGCACAAGCGGUGGAGCAUGUGGUUUAAUUCGAUGCAACGCGAAGAACCUUACCUACUCUUGACAUCCAGAGAACUUUCCAGAGAUGGAUUGGUGCCUUCGGGAACUCUGAGACAGGUGCUGCAUGGCUGUCGUCAGCUCGUGUUGUGAAAUGUUGGGUUAAGUCCCGCAACGAGCGCAACCCUUAUCCUUUGUUGCCAGCGGUCCGGCCGGGAACUCAAAGGAGACUGCCAGUGAUAAACUGGAGGAAGGUGGGGAUGACGUCAAGUCAUCAUGGCCCUUACGAGUAGGGCUACACACGUGCUACAAUGGCGCAUACAAAGAGAAGCGACCUCGCGAGAGCAAGCGGACCUCAUAAAGUGCGUCGUAGUCCGGAUUGGAGUCUGCAACUCGACUCCAUGAAGUCGGAAUCGCUAGUAAUCGUGGAUCAGAAUGCCACGGUGAAUACGUUCCCGGGCCUUGUACACACCGCCCGUCACACCAUGGGAGUGGGUUGCAAAAGAAGUAGGUAGCUUAACCUUCGGGAGGGCGCUACCACCUCAAAUUCCAAUGGGC
rnacentral:rRNA from 1 species